rnacentral:rRNA from 1 species
ACGAAGGGACCUAGCGUAGUUCGGAAUUACUGGGCUUAAAGAGUUCGUAGGUGGUUGAAAAAGUUGGUGGUGAAAUCCCAGAGCUUAACUCUGGAACUGCCAUCAAAACUUUUCAGCUAGAGUAUGAUAGAGGAAAGCAGAAUUUCUAGUGUAGAGGUGAAAUUCGUAGAUAUUAGAAAGAAUACCAAUUGCGAAGGCAGCUUUCUGGAUCAUUACUGACACUGAGGAACGAAAGCAUGGGUAGCGAAGAGGAUUAGAUACCCUCGUAGUCCAUGCCGUAAACGAUGUGUGUUAGACGUUGGAAAUUUAUUUUCAGUGUCGCAGCGAAAGCGAUAAACACACCGCCUGGGGAGUACGACCGCAAGGUUAAAACUCAAAUGAAUUGACGGGGACCCGCACAAGUAGUGGAGCAUGUGGUUUAAUUCGAAGAUACGCGCAGAACCUUACCAACACUUGACAUGUUCGUCGCGGCUCUAAGAGAUUAGAGCUUUCGGUUCGGCCGGACGAAACACAGGUGCUGCAUGGCUGUCGUCAGCUCGUGUCGUGAGAUGUUGGGUUAAGUCCCGCAACGAGCGCAACCCUCACUUUUAGUUGCCAUCAUUUAGUUGGGCACUCUGAAAGAACUGCCAGUGAUAAGCUGGAGGAAGGUGGGGAUGACGUCAAGUCCUCAUGGCCCUUACGUGUUGGGCUACACACGUGCUACAAUGGCAUUUACAAUAGGAAGCAAGAUGGCGACGUCAAGCAAAUCCUAAAAAGAUGCCUCAGUUCGGAUUGUACUCUGCAACUCGAGUACAUGAAGCUGGAAUUACUAGUAAUCGUGGAUCAGCGUGCCACGGUGAAUGCGUUCCCGGGUCUUGUACACACCGCCCGUCACACCAUGGGAGUUGGUUCUACCUUAAGGCAAGGUUUUAAACCCUUGACCACGGUAUAGUCAGCGACUGGGGUGAAGUCGUAACAAGGUAACC